rnacentral:rRNA from 1 species
GAUAAACGCUGGCGGCGUGCAUGAGACAUGCAAGUCGAACGGGUGACUCGGAGCUUGCUCUGGGUCGCUAGUGGCGGACGGCUGAGUAACGCGUAGGUGACCUACCCCGAAGUGGGGAAUAACUGCCCGAAAGGGUGGCUAAUACCGCAUGUGAUCGGUCAUUCGAUUGAUUGAUCAAAGCAGCAUGCGCUUUGGGAGGGGCCUGCGUCCGAUUAGCUCGUUGGUGGGGUAAAGGCUCACCAAGGCGACGAUCGGUAGGUGGUCUGAGAGGACGAUCACCCAGACUGGGACUGAGACACGGCCCAGACUCCUACGGGAGGCAGCAGUCGGGAAUUUUGCUCAAUGGGCGCAAGCCUGAAGCAGCAACGCCGCGUGAGGGAUGAAGGCCUUCGGGUUGUAAACCUCUUUUCUCAGGGACGAUUAUGACGGUACCUGAGGAAUAAGCCACGGCUAACUACGUGCCAGCCGCCGCAGUAACAC